AAACAAAGGUGUACGACUCUAUAUGAGUAAAUACGAAAUCAGAAUCUCGAAAUCUGCCGGUAUACCAUCAUUUACUCUCUCAUUAUCUUACGAUUCAUCUACUUGAUCUGAGAAGCCUCUUUAUAGAUAUGUUCAGAAGUAUCAGAUGACUUGUAUGUUGAUUCUGAUGAUCGAUCUUAGUCAAGCGGAUCUUCGAUUAGCACUGAAUUUGACCAUUCCCUAUUGGGGUCGGAAACACCUAAGCAAUCUCGAGCUUCUCAGAUGUCAAGCUCGUGAUGUCCAUCGGCUUGCUCAAAAUCUGAAGGGCGAUGUUCAUUUCUUUGACAACCAUGAAGUUGGCCUAAUGAAAUUUUGGGUUACUAUAUAAAAUUUGGGGUUACGUUAAAGUGAGGGCUUAUCAAAGGUCUUAUACUUUGCAAAAUGAUGAUCCGGUCUGUUUGCAAAAAAAAAAAGGAUGACUGAUUAAAAUACACAGAUACGUACCUUACUCAAGCAAUAUAGAAUUUUUAUGUCACAUAAUAAAUAAUUCAAGUACGUACACUUUUUGGUUUGUUCUGACGUUAAUGUUUUAAGUUUUGUAGGGUAAUUGCUAUGUAAACAAAGAGAUAAUUCUCAAGUACAUCAACUAAUGGCCAGACCAUUUUGUAAUCUGACCAAACUGGUAUAAUCUAUUUAUCUUCAUCCUCUUUUACGUCUAGUAUGUUUUUUUA